rfam:Ipomoea nil DNA, scaffold: scaffold1868, cultivar: Tokyo-kokei standard.
GCCCGUCUAGCUCAGUUGGUAGAGCACAAGGCUUUUAAUCUCGUGGUCCUGGGUUCGAGUCCCAGGGUGGGCG